AUGGGCCCAUGGCGGCCGCACCCUCGCCGCCACGCCCUCGCCUCUCCCUCCGGCAUCUUGGAGACGUCCGCCCGAGGGAUCCAGCCUCCGCUCCCCCCGGAAUCCCGCCGCCUCCCCGCAAAGCUCUCGCGCCCGUCGCCAGAGCCGCGUGCGCGCCGGCGCCGGCGCGAGGCGGCGGUGACGCGACGGAGGAGCCGGGCCAGGCGCCCGGCGACUGGGCGCGCUCCUGGGCUCCGCCGCCCUGCUCGGCUGCCGCCGAGGACUCCAUCAAGGCGUCCGGGUUCGGGCUGCGGAGCCUCGGCUGGCCCGACGAUGCCGUCGUGGUCACACCUGCCACAUCGCCGGUGCUCGAGCUGUGGGGAGCAAUUCCGGCCGGCUGACUGUCCUAGCAGUUUUGAGAGUAAAAAGGACCGGAGGGAGUACUACUCGGCUUUGGAGCCCGGCAGGAAGAUCACCGGAGCCCAGCCCCAGACCUGCGUCUCCAUCCUCCUCUGUCGCCUGCCUGCAGCCUGCGUGUUACUGUUCCCCAACCCCAAUCCCAACGGAAGCCAGGGAAGGUAA
rnacentral:rRNA from 1 species